CCGCUGCCUCCACCUCUUGUAAAUACUCACCUGUGCACCUUCACCCUUGGACCCCGGAUCGACCUCUCUGUGUGGAUCCCCACUCCCGACCCUGUCCAGACUCCCGUUUCACAAAUUGUAAAUAAACACUGUUCUUUUGUA